UUUUUAACCGACUUCCAAAAAAGGAGGAGGUUCUCAAUUCCACUGUAUUUUUUUUUUUUUUUUUUUUUUUUAUGUAUGUUACAUCAGAACUUUUGACCGAGUAGACCGAUUUCGACAAAAAUUUUGUUUUAAUCGAAAGGUGGUGUGUGCCAAUUGGUCCCAUUUAAAUUUAUUUGAGAUAUAACAACUACUUUUCGAGCUAUAUCUAAUAAUGCGUUUUUACUUGACGCUUUUUUCGUCGACCUACGUUGUAUUAUACCGCAUAACUUUCUACUAGAUUUACCGAUUUUGAUAAUUCUUUUUUUGUUGGAAAGGGGAUAUCCCUAGUUUAGUACCAUGAUA
rnacentral:misc_RNA from 1 species